GGAUAUGAGUACCAUCUGGCUGCCACCUCUGUGACAGCAACCCAUUGAUGGCCCGGGUUGAUUCAGCAAAACUGCCUGGCUAGGCGGGCAUCCCCUUCCUCCCUCACUGCUCCCUGUGCGUCCCUCCGAAAGCUGCACACUCUGUUGAAGACGAUGACCUUCCCCGAUAGAGGAGGACUGCUCUUCAGUCAAGGGCAUAUGAGUGGCUGCACUGUCUUGCUAGAAUCUCCAAACAAGGUCUCAAGGUCCAUUUGUAGGAGAACAUAGGCUCAUCAAGCUUCCAAGAGCAGAUACACCCAAAUGAGGUGCUGCACAUGGCAGUCUGCUUUUCUUU
ensembl:misc_RNA 7SK 7SK RNA